rnacentral:rRNA from 1 species
UGGGGAAUAUUGCACAAUGGGCGAAAGCCUGAUGCAGCAACGCCGCGUGAGCGAUGAAGGCCUUCGGGUCGUAAAGUUCUGUCCUCAAGGAAGAUAAUGACGGUACUUGAGGAGGAAGCCCCGGCUAACUACGUGCCAGCAGCCGCGGUAAUACGUAGGGGGCUAGCGUUAUCCGGAAUUACUGGGCGUAAAGGGUGCGUAGGUGGUUUCUUAAGUCAGAGGUGAAAGGCUACGGCUCAACCGUAGUAAGCCUUUGAAACUGGGAAACUUGAGUGCAGGAGAGGAGAGUGGAAUUCCUAGUGUAGCGGUGAAAUGCGUAGAUAUUAGGAGGAACACCAGUUGCGAAGGCGGCUCUCUGGACUGUAACUGACACUGAGGCACGAAAGCGUGGGGAGCAAACA